GUCCACACGGUAAAACGAUGGAUACUCGCUGUUGGCGAUAUACUGUCAGCGGCCAAGCGAAAGCAUUAAGUAUCCCACCUGGGGAGUACGCCGGCAACGGUGAAACUCAAAGGAAUUGACGGGGGGCCCGCACAAGCGGAGGAACAUGUGGUUUAAUUCGAUGAUACGCGAGGAACCUUACCCGGGCUUAAAUUGCAGACGAAUUACCUGGAAAACAGGUAAGCCGCAAGGCGUCUGUGAAGGUGCUGCAUGGUUGUCGU
rnacentral:rRNA from 1 species